GAGGGGCCCCUCUCGGGUUACCGAAUUCAGACAAACUCCGAAUGCCAAUUAAUUUAACUUGGGAGUCAGAACAUGGGUGAUAAGGUCCGUGUUCGAAAGGGAAACAGCCCAGACCACCAGCUAAGGUCCCAAAAUAUAUGUUAAGUGGAAAAGGAUGUGGCGUUGCCCAGACAACUAGGAUGUUGGCUUAGAAGCAGCCAUCAUUUAAAGAGUGCGUAAUAGCUCACUAGUCGAGUGACACUGCGCCGAAAAUGUACCGGGGCUAAACAUAUUACCGAAGCUGUGGAUUGUCCUUUGGACAAUGGUAGGAGAGCGUUCUAAGGGCGUUGAAGCAUGAUCGUAAGGACAUGUGGAGCGCUUAGAAGUGAGAAUGCCGGUGUGAGUAGCGAAAGACGGGUGAGAAUCCCGUCCACCGAUUGACUAAGGUUUCCAGAGGAAGGCUCGUCCGCUCUGGGUUAGUCGGGUCCUAAGCUGAGGCCGACAGGCGUAGGCGAUGGAUAACAGGUUGAUAUUCCUGUACCACCUAUAAUCGUUUUAAUCGAUGGGGGGACGCAGUAGGAUAGGCGAAGCGUGCGAUUGGAUUGCACGUCUAAGCAGUAAGGCUGAGUAUUAGGCAAAUCCGGUACUCGUUAAGGCUGAGCUGUGAUGGGGAGAAGACAUUGUGUCUUCGAGUCGUUGAUUUCACACUGCCGAGAAAAGCCUCUAGAUAGAAAAUAGGUGCCCGUACCGCAAACCGACACAGGUAGUCAAGAUGAGAAUUCUAAGGUGAGCGAGCGAACUCUCGUUAAGGAACUCGGCAAAAUGACCCCGUAACUUCGGGAGAAGGGGUGCUCUUUAGGGUUAACGCCCAGAAGAGCCGCAGUGAAUAGGCCCAAGCGACUGUUUAUCAAAAACACAGGUCUCUGCUAAACCGUAAGGUGAUGUAUAGGGGCUGACGCCUGCCCGGUGCUGGAAGGUUAAGAGGAGUGGUUAGCUUCUGCGAAGCUACGAAUCGAAGCCCCAGUAAACGGCGGCCGUAACUAUAACGGUCCUAAGGUAGCGAAAUUCCUUGUCGGGUAAGUUCCGACCCGCACGAAAGGCGUAACGAUUUGGGCACUGUCUCAACGAGAGACUCGGUGAAAUCAUAGUACCUGUGAAGAUGCAGGUUACCCGCGACAGGACGGAAAGACCCCGUGGAGCUUUACUGUAGCCUGAUAUUGAAAUUCGGCACAGCUUGUACAGGAUAGGUAGGAGCCUUUGAAACGUGAGCGCUAGCUUACGUGGAGGCGCUGGUGGGAUACUACCCUAGCUGUGUUGGCUUUCUAACCCGCACCACUUAUCGUGGUGGGAGACAGUGUCAGGCGGGCAGUUUGACUGGGGCGGUCGCCUCCUAAAAGGUAACGGAGGCGCUCAAAGGUUCCCUCAGAAUGGUUGGAAAUCAUUCAUAGAGUGUAAAGGCAUAAGGGAGCUUGACUGCGAGACCUACAAGUCGAGCAGGGUCGAAAGACGGACUUAGUGAUCCGGUGGUUCCGCAUGGAAGGGCCAUCGCUCAACGGAUAAAAGCUACCCCGGGGAUAACAGGCUUAUCUCCCCCAAGAGUUCACAUCGACGGGGAGGUUUGGCACCUCGAUGUCGGCUCAUCGCAUCCUGGGGCUGUAGUCGGUCCCAAGGGUUGGGCUGUUCGCCCAUUAAAGCGGUACGCGAGCUGGGUUCAGAACGUCGUGAGACAGUUCGGUCCCUAUCCGUCGUGGGCGUAGGAAAUUUGAGAGGAGCUGUCCUUAGUACGAGAGGACCGGGAUGGACAUACCUCUGGUGUACCAGUUGUCGUGCCAACGGCAUAGCUGGGUAGCUAUGUGUGGACGGGAUAAGUGCUGAAAGCAUCUAAGCAUGAAGCCCCCCUCAAGAUGAGAUUUCCCAACUUCGGUUAUAAGAUCCCUCAAAGAUGAUGAGGUUAAUAGGUUCGAGGUGGAAGCAUGGUGACAUGUGGAGCUGACGAAUACUAAUCGAUCGAAGACUUAAUCAA
rnacentral:rRNA from 1 species